UUGACCUCGGAUCAGGUAGGGCUACCCGCUGAACUUAAGCAUAUCAA
rnacentral:rRNA from 1 species